UUAAGUAUGUAUGAAGCUUAGAACCAGUACCUCCUCCCCUUAAUCCAUUUUAUCCUCCUAGAUCUCUCUUUUGAGUAGGGACAAGAAAUGUACAGAUCAUACAUGCCUCCAAGAGCAACAGGAGAAGGAGGAAGAUAAAAGGAGGAAAGGAGGCCAGCGAGAUGUCUCAUGGGUUAAAAGGGCCUGCCGGCUGUGAUGAAACAGGGGUUUCCGGCUUUUCUCUUCCUCGCUGAUUCUGUUCUGUGCCCGGACCACGAUGCUUCAUCUACAAUCGCCUCACAUUUAGCACAUAGUCAGCGAGUGCCUUGAAUUCAGAAUAACCAUUUCCGGGGCUAAGAAGGAUGAUCGAAACAGUGGAGAUGGGAUUUGGCCAAGAUGAGGUGAGCGUUUCCUGUAGAAGAAGACUUUGACAUAAGGCUGGACGAAGAGGCUAAACCAACCCCUCAGGAGAGAAGAGACAAGCAAGCAACAGCAACAGAAGGAGCAGAAACCAGCUAGAAGAACUGCCAUGCCCCCACGCUUAGGUUUCUGGUCUUUUAACACUCUCCAUAGAGUGUCAGAAUUAAACAAACUGUCUUCAGCUGGCAGAACCACACCCCGGCCAGGGCACACACCAAGCAAAUUGCUGUGGACAGUCUAAAGCAGCUCCAUAUCCCACACCUGAAAUUA